rnacentral:rRNA from 1 species
UACCAGCACCUCGAGUGGUCAGGAGGUUUAUUGGGCCUAAAGCAUCCGUAGCCGGCUUUGCAAGUCUCCGGUUAAAUCCAACUGCUCAACAGAUGGGCUGCCGGAGAUACUACAAAGCUAGGGAGCGGGAGAGGCAGACGGUAUUCGGUGGGUAGGGUAAAUCCUCUGAUCCAUUGAGGACCGCCAGUGGCGAAGGCGGUCUGCCAGAACGCGUUCGACGGUGAGGGAUGAAAGCUGGGGGAGCAAACCGGAUUAGAACCGU